rnacentral:rRNA from 1 species
CCUACGGGGGGCAGCAGUGGGGAAUAUUGGACAAUGGGGGGAACCCUGAUCCAGCCAUGCCGCGUGUGUGAAGAAGGCCCUCGGGUUGUAAAGCACUUUCAGUGAGGAAGAACGCCUGGUGGUUAAUACCCAUCAGGAAAGACAUCACUCACAGAAGAAGCACCGGCUAACUCCGUGCCAGCAGCCGCGGUAAUACGGAGGGUGCGAGCGUUAAUCGGAAUUACUGGGCGUAAAGCGCGCGUAGGUGGCUUGAUAAGCCGGUUGUGAAAGCCCCGGGCUCAACCUGGGAACGGCAUCCGGAACUGUCAAGCUAGAGUGCAGGAGAGGAAGGUAGAAUUCCCGGUGUAGCGGUGCAAUGCGUAGAGAUCGGGAGGAAUACCAGUGGCGAAGGCGGCCUUCUGGACUGACACUGACACUGAGGUGCGAAAGCGUGGGUAGCAAACAGGAUUAGAUACCCUUGUAGUC